rnacentral:rRNA from 1 species
UACGGGGGGGGGCAAGCGUUGUUCGGAAUUACUGGGCGUAAAGGGCGUGUAGGUGGCCAACUAAGUCCGACGUGAAAUCCCCAGGCUUAACCUGGGAACUGCGUCGGAUACUGGAUGGCUUGAAUUCGGGAGAGGGAUGCAGAAUUCCAGGUGUAGCGGUGAAAUGCGUAGAUAUCUGGAGGAAUACCGAUGGCGAAGGCAAUCCCCUGGGCCUGUACUGACGCUCAUGCACGAAAGCGUGGGGAGCAAACAGG